CCGCCGCCCGCCCGGCCUGCCGCUCUGCUCCGCGCCCACCCCACGGCCCGCCUCGGCUUCCGUAGUCCGGCUCCUGGCCUGGCUUAGCGCCUCGGGUGAGUUCGGAGGCGCUCGGGAGGACUCGGUGAUCCUCGGCCCCGCCCCUGCUUCGGCCCCCGCGCCCUUCUCCCCCUCUUCCGCUCAGGUCUUGCGAGGCCCCGCUGUGGCUGAGGACGCCGGCCUUCCCGGGUCCGUCGCUCUCUCGCCUACUUGUUCCCUUUGCGAGGAGGCUGUGGUGAGGUGGAAGGUGGAGGUGGCAGCCGCGCUGGCGGUGGCAGGGUACCGGUGGAGGCUCAGCUUCCGCGGCAGGCGCGGCUGCUAUGUGGAGGUCGGCAACGGCCUCGGGCGCCCCGCCGCUUCGGCACUUUCCGCCGCCUGCCUACUUCGGGUCUUCCUGUCCCGGUUGCGUUCUGCGCCUGCGCAACCCUUGCAGCCCCCAGGUUGCUCCUCGUUGGAGUUUGGGGAUCGGUCUUCUUCGGUUAAGCUCGGAAUGUGCUCCUGAAGAACCCCCAGUGCGAAGGAGGCCCCUGUAGAGCUAUGAACAGAGCCAUGGUGGAAGGACCUGUGGUCUGAGUGAGGGGAACAGAAUCCAGAGGAUAGAGCAACUGGUCCUGAAGUCUGUGCUCCACAAUUUGGGGUCUCACUCAUCCCUUCUUAGUACCUGUUAGUUGCAAACCCAUGAGGACAAGAAAAUACUGAAAUGUUUGAGCUUCCAGGUUAAA